AGCCAUCAAGGGCUGAAUGCCUCUCCAGUUGCCAGAGGAGGAGUGGCUUGUAGAGCGGAUGUUCCCAGUCUGGCAGAAUCUUCUGUCAAGUGUUCCCUGAGUUGGGCUGCCAGGGGGCAGGUGUUGAACAGUGAGGAAGUCCUCUCACCUGAGCAGCUUCUGAUGCAAGAGGGGUGUCGUGAGUGCCUGGAAUCCUAUGCCUGUGGGUGGAGCGUGAACUUAGCCUCUUCCCUGAGGGUAGGCAGCAUGUCAUAACCACUUCUGGCUGCCCAUGGCUGGUUUGGGGCAAUAUGCCAAGAUGUAGUUUUGCCUAUUUGGUUUGCUUUUUCCUUUAAAAUGUACAAAAGUUAAUAACAUGUAAUGGGUUUUUAAAAAAUUAUAAAAUAUGAGAUACAAUCAGAAAAAAAAAAAAAAAA
rnacentral:lncRNA from 1 species